rnacentral:rRNA from 1 species
AACGAACGCUGGCGGCAGGCUUAACACAUGCAAGUCGAGCGCCCCGCAAGGGGACCGGCAGACGGGUGAGUAACGCGUGGGAAUCUACCCAUCUCUACGGAAUAACGCAUGGAAACGUGUGCUCAUACCGAAACCGUCCUUCGGGAUAAAGAUUUAUCGGGGAUGGAUGAGCCCGCGUUGGAUUAGCUAGUGGGUAGGGUAAAGGCCUACCAAGGCGACGAUCCAUAGCUGGUCUGAGAGGAUGAGCAGCCACACAGGGACGGGGACACGGCCCAGACUCCUACGGGAGGCAGCAGUGGGGAAUAUUGGACAAUGGGCGCAAGCCUGAUCCAGCCAUGCCGCGUGAGUGAUGAAGGCCCUAGGGUUGUAAAGCUCUUUCACCGGUGAAGAUAAUGACGGUAACCGGAGAAGAAGCCCCGGCUAACUUCGUGCCAACCGCCGCCGUAACAC